GAGUGCAAACCCUAAUUCCCUCCUUUCGGCGACCAUUUCUUCUCUUCCAACCACAAUAUUGAACACCAGUACUCAGGUAGACAGAUCUGUGAGCUGUGGGAGGAAAGGAAAGCACUUGAAUUGUGAAACUGAAAAGCAUCGAUCAAGAUAGCGGGUUUAUCUUGUUUCUUUUUGUGUCCUUGGUUGAGAGCUUAACACCUGUCACGGAAGCCCACCCAACAUUGUUCAAAGGAGAAAGAAGAGAAAGCUACAAGUACAGGGAGAAGGAGAAGGUAAAAGGUAAAAGGGAGGGGUGUGGCUGAGAUCGAAGACGCUUAAAAACAAAUUCUGUUCAGAUUAAGGUUAAAAAUUAGCUAAUUUUUUAGUUAGAUUGGUUAAAUGUUAGUUCAUUUGUCAAUUAGAUUGGUUCAGCAUUUGCGAGCUUCAUCACUGAUGACUUUGAUUUAUCUAAGAUUGGUUUUAGUCAAUAGUAAUGUGGAAAAGUGGUUUAUAUUUACUUAGCAUGUGUUUAAUUCUGCUUCUGCAAAUUUAAUUACUCAUUACUUUCAUGCAUCUAUGAUUGAUUUUGCUUAGUAAUAAUGUUUAAAAAUGUAAAAGUAGAGAUGCUUCAAACAAAUUCCAGACUUGUCACAUAUGUUUUUGUUGCUAAUUAAUCUGUUUCUGGGCCAUGAAUAUUGUCCUGAUUCCUUGUUAUGCCCCAAAAUUGGGAAGGAAUUUGAAAUUUCAAAUCAAGCAUUGAGCUUCAUUAUCAUUUUGUGAUCUUUCUUCAUUGACUUAACAGCAACUUUGGAAUGUGGAAGUUGAGUCAAAAACUGUUAGUCGUGUAUGUAAUUUAAGGCUUGAUAUUCUUUUAAUUAGUUUGGUUAGUUAUUUCAUCUGUGAUAUAUGAGUGUUAGCACAGUAAUUUACUUAUGUUUUUCAUUUAUUUUUGUGAAUCAACCACUACAUACAUUUUGGAAUCACGUGAUGAUUUCUUGGAAGACUUUAGCUAUAUGUGGGAGGGUAAUUAAGUUUAAGUUUGCUUCAUCAUGUAAGGAUGAAAACUAUAGUAUAUUAAAAUAGUACAUUACAUAUAUACUUUUGUUCAUAUUAUAUUGUGAAUUAGCUCUUCAAUUGAGUAUUUAACAAUGCUUUUAGUUGGCUCUGAGUUUAUAUUGUGGAUUACUCAUAGGUAGAAUUUGUGGUUUCAAUCUAAUCUUUGGUCAUUUCAUAUGAUUUGUGAUUGCACUAUUUUUGGGUUUUGCUUGCUUUCCUGGUAGUAUUUGGCAUGGUUAGGAGAAGGGAGCAUUGAUUGCCCUUGGAUAGAAACAAGGCCGCUAAAAGAGAAUGAAUCCGGUGAAACACUAUCAGCUGCAACGUGGGAGGUAUGAAGAGAAGAAGGCUAAUAAAGAAGUAUCAAAGUCCUAAAAAAUUUCUCAAAAUUGUUGAAGAUGCUAAAUUAGUGUUAUUCCCUAAUGCAAGAGGAAAUGAUCAUAUCUCAAU